rnacentral:rRNA from 1 species
UACGUAGGGCGCGAGCGUUGUCCGGAAUUAUUGGGCGUAAAGAGCUUGUAGGUGGUUUGUCGCGUCUGCUGUGAAAACCCGAGGCUCAACCUCGGGCCUGCAGUGGGUACGGGCAGACUAGAGUGCGGUAGGGGAGAUUGGAAUUCCUGGUGUAGCGGUGGAAUGCGCAGAUAUCAGGAGGAACACCGAUGGCGAAGGCAGAUCUCUGGGCCGUAACUGGACGCUGAGGAGCGAAAGCGUGGGGAGCGAACAGG